AACGCAUAUGGCACCCGAGACCUCGGUCGAGGGUAUGUCUGCCUCAGAGUCGACGUUAAACAUCCUCCUCUACCCCCUCGUCGGGGGGGUCCGGAGGGAGCUGACCUUCCCAGCGCUCGCCUAGCGAGCCCGCUGGGUCGGUCGAAGGACAGACAACGGAGGACCGGUGGUGCAAAACGCACCGACCCGGGGUACCACGAUUUGGUGGGAGGAUAUCUUACAUCCGCAUCUUUCGUCGUGCGUCUCCCCCGGGGUCUCUGAACUGGGUACAACUCCGAAAGACCAUCGACUUUUUAUUUUCGACCUGAGUUCAGGCAAGAUCACCCGCUGAACUUAA
rnacentral:misc_RNA from 1 species